rnacentral:lncRNA from 1 species
CCGAGUCUCUGAAAACAUUCAUAGACAUAGCAAGGCAAUGUUUGACAGAGGAAGUAAUAGGGAUCGGGACCCUUGAAUUAACAACUAAGGUCUAAACUAGAAAAGGAUAGCAAAAACGGCAAAAGGAAAAUAAGUUUUCAUUCAUGCUGCCCGAAGUAGGGUUACAGUGUUUGCAUUUAUAUCCCAUGUUGACGUAUGUGAUCUAACCACGUGUCAAACAUCCAAGACUAGAACUAAAUGCUAAACAGCUCUCCUAGCUCGUGCAAUGCACCCGCGCGCCACACAUGACCAAAACGACGCGUUUAACUACAAGACUAAAAUAUAACUGGGAAGGUUCAUAACAUCACUGCCUGCCUCAAAUCAAACUUGUCCUCAAGUUUGUAGCUGGACUGCUCACUUAGUGCUCAAACUCUGGAAACCUCCUGGUAAUGUUUUCUGCCAGCUCCCAAGUUGCUUCCUCAGGUGUGUGGUGUUGCCAUUGGAUCAACCACUGUGUUGCUGCUGCCCCAUGCUUCUUGAUCAUUCUGGUACCUAACACAGCAUAUGGAGUCCAUUUCUUCUUGUCAGCAUCAGUGAUAGGAGGUAGUUGAGCCUCUGCAGUCACUGUGUCUCCCAACUUCUUCUUUAAGAGUGAUACAUGAAAGACAUUGUGUAUUUUUGCUUCUGCUGGUAGCUUCAGUCUAUAGGCCACUUCCCCAAUCUUCUCAGUUACUUCAAAUGGUCCAUAAUACUUGGCUGCCAACUUGUGAAACACCCUUCUCUGCACCGAGUGUUGCUUGUAGGGUUGCAACUUCAAGUACACAAAAUCUCCCACCACAAAUGAUCUCUCAGUGUGCCUUCUAUCAUGAAACCUCUUCAUUCUCUCUUGUGCUCUCUUCAAGUUCUCUUUUAGAAUUUUCAGCAAUUCAUCUCUAUCUUGCAGUUGCUCAUCCACACGUGCUACAGCAGUAGAUCCAGGUAGGUAAGGGUUGACAAGAAGAGGAUUGUAACCAUAAAGGGCUCUAAAAGGGGUCAUAUUGAUUGCUGAAUGGUGUGAGGUAUUAUACCACCACUCUGCCCAUGGCAGUGCCUGCACCCACGAGUGAGGCUUCUCUCCCACUGUACACCUCAGAUAUUGCUCCAAAGUUCUGUUGAGAUUUUCAGUUUGACCAUCACUUUGAGGGUGGUAAGCUGAAGACCUGCUUAACUGUGUUCCCUGCAGUGCAAAAUAGGAUUCCCAGAAAAGGCUCAUAAACGUUGGAUCCCUAUCUGAUAUUAUGUUAUCUGGCAUGCCAUGUAGCCUUGAAACCUCCUGCACAAAUAGUUUUGCUAGAGACGCUGCAGAAUAUGGAUGAGACAGUGGAAUGAAGUGAUCACCCAAAUAGAUGUCUUGCCUUCUGAUUUUGGUAAUCCAUCUAUGAAAUCCAUGGAAAUGGUGCUCCAAGCUUUUUCUGGUAUAGCUAAGGGUUGUAACAACCCUGGUGGCAACACAGUCUCAUAAUGAUGCCUUUGACAGGUGUCACAGUGAGCUAUAUAGUCUUUCACCUCCUUCUGCAGUCCAGGCCAAGAGAAACUCCUUCCAACCCUUUUAUAAGUUCUAGCCCUUCCAGCGUGGCCCCCAACUAGUCCUCCAUGAAGCUCAGCCAAAAUGGUCUUUCUCCAAUUAUCUGAUUUUGGUACAAAAAUUUUGUUUCUGUAGAAGAGUUGGUCAUUUUCCCACUUGAAAUGCAUCUUCUCACCUCCCUGUUGCAGUAACUUAAUUAUGGUUGUUGCUUCUGGGUCUUUGGCACAAGCCUCUUUCAUCCUUGUAAUGUAAUCAUGUACUGCAGUAGAAAUUCCCAUAAUUGCUGCUGAAGCUGGUACUCUAGAGAGAGCAUCAGGGGCUGCAUUGUUCCGUCCAGCCCUAUACUGGAUUGAAUAAUCAUACCCCAACAAUUUUACCAACCAUUUUUGUUGAGUUGGAGUGGUUACCCUCUGCUUAAGAAAGUACUCAAUAGUUCUGUGGUCUGUUAGGAUUUUAAAAUGAUGCCCUAACAGGUAUGGCCUCCAAUGCUCCACAGCUGCCACCACAGCAAGCAGAUAUGGGAAGCACAAAGAAAUUUUCACUUAGGGUGUAGCCCUGUAGUGUCAAAUCUAUUGUUGCUUCUGAAUUGGUUACCAUCACAUCACCACUAGCAACUCUUACUCUCACUGGCUUGAUAUCUUGUGCCUGGACCUUGGUGUAUUUUAGGACAGAAGGAUGGAUGAAAUUGUGGCUAGCUCCUGAAUCUAUAAGAACAUGUACCUUUUUCCUACCUAAGAUGCCUUUCAGCUGCAUAGUAUGAUUAUUAGGCCCUUCUCCCAAAGAGUGUAGCUGCAUUUCUGGUUCUUGAGCUUCUUCCACUACCCCUUGUACCUCCUCCUGUAUUAUAUUUACCUCUUCUGGUUCUUGUACCACCUCGAUAACCAUAAUAGCUUGCCCUCUCCUGCAAUUGUGUCCCGGCCUGAAUAUCUCAUCACAAAAAAAACACUGGUUUCUUGCUCUUCUUUCUUGGUAUUCUGCUUGUGACAACCUUCUGUUGUUGGUAUUCCCCACAUUUACUCCUUGUGGCACUGGUGCUCUAACUGGUUGAGGAGCUCUUGGCUGGUUUCCAUAAUUGUUGUAUGUUGGUCUGGGCUGCUGCAAUAAUGGUCUUGGCUCCUGCUGAGUGCGAACUACUCUGGUAACUUUCUCUUUUUCCUCAUAAACCUUUGCCAAUUCACAAGCCUCAUAUAAAGUUCGCGGUUUCAUUGCUCUCACAUCCGACCUCAAUGUCUCCUUCAAACCUUCAAUAAAGAAAGCUAACAAAUUUUGUGCAGUAUAGCCCGGUGUUCUUCUAGAAAGUUUGGUAAACUCUUCCAUGUACUGAUCAACAGACCCCGAUUGAUUCAUCCGAGCUAUUGCAGCCUGGUAAUCACCCUUGUUCUGUCCUCCAAACUCCCUCAUAAGCAAUUCACACAAACCAGCCCAAGAGUUGGAAAAUUCAUGUUUAAACAUGAACCACCUAUCUGCAGCUUUCUCUGUUAGGUGCAUAGUUGCCAAAGCUAACUUUCUAUCUUCUGGGAUCUGAUAGAAGUCAAAAAUCUGCUCUACCUUGGUUAACCACUCCACUGGAUCUCCUCCCCCAAAGGUACUAAACUCCAACUUCAUCUGCCUAAUGGUUGGCAUAUUGGGGUCAAACACACUAGAAUGAGUGAACUGAGGUGUCAUGUGGGGUUGUAAACCAUAAUUGCUAGCUACCCCCAACUGAUUUGGAUAAUUAGGCAUUGAAUUUACGGUAGAGGCUUGUGUGUAUAUGGGUUGCUGAGAAAAUAGGUUAGGUGUGUAACACUGAUUAAAACGCUGCUGAGCAAAAUUGGGAACAAAAUUGGUUUGUGCAAAAUUGGUUGGAGCAAAAUUGCUUGGGACAAAAUUUGGGGUAAAAUAGGUUUGAGUAAAAUUUGGAGUGAAUUGGCUUGGUGUGGAACUGAACAUGGCAUUGUUAAAGGGUAUAAACUCUUGUUGAGUGUGGUAUGGAUAGGCAAAAUUAGGUCUGAACUGAGCUUGAGAAACAGGGUUAACUCCAGAAUGAGUAUACUGUGAGGACUGAUUUGUAUGAGCUCUAUGAGUUCCAGCUUCAUAUGACUUACUUCCACUGGACUGCCCCUUUUCAAAACUAAUCUUCUUUCCCUUAUCUAGCACUAGUUUCGGAUCUGAGACCUUAGUUACCACAAGAGUAUUCAUAACCACUCCAGACGCAUCAGGCACAAUAGGUUGGCUAGUAUUAAACUGCAGCAGUUGCUCACCCUCGGCAGAACUAACACUAUUUAGAGCUAAAUUUGCAGACCCUUUACUGUCUGAUGCACUCAAAACUGAGCUCACCAUAGCUUGCGUGGAUCUUGCAGAAUCCUGCGAACCAUUUACAGCUGUAGAUCCACUCGCUGGGGGCAAGGACCCAAACUUAAGAGGAGUGGAGCACACCGGAACCACUUGAACAACAGAUGACUCCCUCAUGGCCCGCAACUCUGCCAUAAUCUCAGUAUGGAAGGUGUUCAUCCUCUCCUGAUACAUAUUGAGUGAGUUUUGCAUCUCUCCAAUUUGGGUUUCGGUGUGUUCUUUGUGUUGGUGGAACUCAGCUUCAAAUGAAGACGAAUUCUCUCCUUGUGAACCCGAAGCUGGGUGACCAGCACCUUGAGCUCCUUUGUUCUUAACCAUGGCCUCAAGAGCGCAAGGCUCUGAUACCAGAUAAUAGGGAUCGGGACCCUUGAAUUAACAACUAAGGUCUAAACUAGAAAAGGAUAGCAAAAACGGCAAAAGGAAAAUAAGUUUUCAUUCAUGCUGCCCGAAGUAGGGUUACAGUGUUUGCAUUUAUAUCCCAUGUUGACGUAUGUGAUCUAACCACGUGUCAAACAUCCAAGACUAGAACUAAAUGCUAAACAGCUCUCCUAGCUCGUGCAAUGCACCCGCGCGCCACACAUGACCAAAACGACGCGUUUAACUACAAGACUAAAAUAUAACUGGGAAGGUUCAUAACAGGAAGUGAGCGGCCAACGAUGGGGGAUGUGUUAUGGAAGUUGGAGCUGGCAUUGCAGCAGCAACAAAAAGAGCUGAUCAAGUAGAAAACACUCGAAUCAGCAUAAUUUUUCCAAUUUGGAUCGAUGUUCAUAAACAUCAGGGCAUUAUUCAAGUUGGCAUUUCAGAUCCAACCCCAGGGAUUGGGUUUCCUGAGAUAAUGCUACCUGCCAGACGUUGACUACUAGGCUCUAGCUGUCAGUGUGUAUUGUGUUUUGUUUAGACUACCGGAAAUCCAUUUAUAGAACUAUUGGUUUAGUUCUCCUAUGAAUUUAUUUUGUUAUCGAAAUCACAUUAUUUAAAGGAUUUCUAGGCUCAAAGUUUAAUCGUGCCGGGAGAUCAUGUCAGAACACUUUCUUCCCAUAAGCACCAAGAAUAGAUUGAGAUUUAACUUCAAUCGUCGGCGGAUUCUAACUUGGGUAUGGGGUUCUACAUCAUCUAGGUUUUUAUCAACUCGACCCCUGUGGUGGUUUCUCCUAUGAAUUUCUAAUCAUCUUUGUAAUUGUGCAUAUGUAGAUACAUAGAUUCUGAACCAAAAUACAGAUGAAUUUGUCUUCAACACAUGUGCUUCUGAAAUCUGAACUCUGAACCUAACUAUCUCAAUUAGAUUAUACAUGAAACCAAACAUACAUAAAUGAAUAAAGCUCCAUCAUAUUCUG